GGGGGUGUAAUGGGUUCGACGGGGGUAGAAGUAGCAAGAGAAGCGGGCCCAGGACCAUGGCCUGGUAAAACAUGGAACGGCUUAACUGCCAACGAUAAUUACGCAUUAGCUGCUUAAUUAAGUAGCUCGUCCACCUUUUCUUCUCCUGCGGGAAGAGCCAGUGGGCGUCAUAACAGCAGGAUACCUGUUCUGGAGGCUGCUCCUCCUUCAGCCCGGGGAAAUUAAUUGGAGAUAGCGGUCAUGGCAUCCCGCCCUGAAGAGGCCAUGUCGCGAAACUAAAUUCGGGGCUACGCUCGUAGAUGCUCUUGUGUCUUUGCUUUCGGACGCGGGUUCGAUUCCCGCCACCUCCACCA
rnacentral:tmRNA from 1 species